GCUGGAGGAAGGCUGUGAGGACGAGCUGGAGGAAGGCUGGGAGGACGAGCCGGAGGAAGGCUGUGAGGACGAGUUGGAGGAAGGCUGUGAGGACGAGCUGGAGGAAGGCUGUGAGGACGACGGCACGGUUAUGAUGGACUGGGGCUCCUCACGAUGCUGCACUGUCCCUGGGUGGUGGAGAAGGCUCUGGCGGCAGGGGAUAGGGGUUACCACCAUGCUGUGUACAGAGCACCGCUGGAUCCAGACACAGCACUACCUACAGGCUUCAAAAAACGGGAGGCUGUGGAAGGAUUUCCGUUUGACAGAAGCCAAUCAACUGAGACCAUACGGGCCUUAAAGUCACGGUGGACUCUGAUGCCCACUUCACACAGCUCAAGACAGGGGAGAUCCUGAGCAAGGCCCUGCCCCAGCUCGGCCUGGCUGUCUCCUCCAUGACAGUCUCUUCUGGAGGACCCGGAGGGCUUCCUCAUACCCAGAGGCCCACGUGCUCAACAUACGGAGAAGGUGCCCGCUACACUUUCAUCUGGAUCAAAAGGGCAGUCCAUUUCAACGGUGGAGCUUUGGAGAAGAUGGCAGCAUUUCU